GAAAACCAGUUUGGGCACAAACGUAUGAGAGGAGGAGAAGGCAGAAAGAUGGGGUGGGUGAAGGGUUAGGGGCUGACGAUCUCAGGUGGAGGGAGAUUGUAUAUGGGGUCAGAAAUCUGGAUUUCUCCUGUAAACGACAGGCACUUGGGGAGGCUUGGUCGCUGUGGGGCUAGAAGGAGAAGGCUGGGACCAGCGAGAGUUGUGGCAUGUGGGAUCCCACCUCACUGUGGCCUGAUGAGUGGUACCAUGUCUGCACCCAGGAUCCGAAACAGGGAAACCCUGAGCCACCAAAGCAGAACACCUGAACUUAACCAUUAGGCCGUGAGUGAUUUUUUUUUUUUUUGAGGAAGAUUAGCCCUGAGCUAACUGCUGCCAAUCCUCCUCUUUUUGCUGAGGAAGACUGGCCCUGAGCUAACAUCCAUGCCCAUUUUCCUCUACCACAGCAUGGCCUGCCAAGUGGUACCAUGUCUAUACCCGGGAUCCAAACCAGUGAACCCAGGCUGCUGAAGCGGAACGUGUGCACUUAACUGCUGUGCCACCAGGCCGGCCCCUGGAGGGUGAUUUAAUUGAGGAAGAUUCAUCGUGAAGUAACACCUGUGCCAGUCUUCCUGUGUUUUGUAUGUGGGUCACAGCCCCACACCACUGAUAGUGGUGUAAGGCCACAUACCUGGGAAGCAAACCCAAGCUGCGGAGGCCAAGUGCACCAAACUUAACCCCUAGGCCACGGGCUGGGCCCUUGAUUUUUUUUAAAUAGACACAUUUUCCUUCUUUAUUUUCAAAAACCAAUAGGAAAAAACAGGGAUGCCUGACCUUAUGGAGUAGUUGUGGGCAUGAAAUAAGCAAAUAAAUGACAAUGAGCGUCAUAAAAUGCUAUGCGUUGGUAUGUUAUUUUUAUUGCGUUGACCGUUCCUUGAGGGCUAGGCUACUUCUUUCUCAGUUGUCAUAUGUGCACAUACUUCAUUCAGAUAUUCAUUCCUUCAACGUUACGGUAGAAUGUAAGUUUCGAGAAGUCAGGGACUCUGUCCACACUGUUCUCCUCCAGCUCCUCAAUGCCUGCAAAAGUGCCUGGCGCUCAAUAAAUGUUUGUUGAAUUAAAAAGAAAAACUUACAAAUAGAUAU
rnacentral:lncRNA from 1 species